AGCAGCCGCGGUAAUUCCAGCUCCAAUAGCGUAUAUUAAAGUUGUUGCAGUUAAAAAGCUCGUAGUUGAAUUUCGGGGUUAGUAGGUUGGUCAUGCCUCUGGUAUGUACUGGUCUCACUGAUUCCUCCUUCCUGAUGAACCUUAAUGCCAUUAAUUUGGUGUUUUGGGGAAUUUGGACUGUUACUUUGAAAAAUUAGAGUGUUUAAAGCAAGCUAACGCUUGAAUACAUUAGCAUGGAAUAAUGAAAUAGGACGUUCGAUCCUAUUUUGUUGGUUUCUAGGAUUGACGUAAUGAUUAAUAGGGAUAGUUGGGGGCAUUAGUAUUCAAUUGUCAGAGGUGAAAUUCUUGGAUUUAUUGAAGACUAACUACUGCGAAAGCAUUUGCCAAGGAUGUUUUCAUUAAUCAAGAACGAAAGUUAGGGGAUCGAAGACGAUCAGAUACCGUCGUAGUCUUAACCAUAAACUAUGCCGACUAGGGAUCGGAUGAUGUUAAUUUUUAAUGACUCAUUCGACGCCUUACG
rnacentral:rRNA from 1 species